GAUGAACGCUGGCGGCGUGCUUAACACAUGCAGGUCGAACGAUGAAGCCCAGCUUGCUGGGUGGAUUAGUGGCGAACGGGUGAGUAACACGUGAGUAACCUGCCCUUAACUCUGGGAUAAGCCUGGGAAACUGGGUCUAAUACCGGAUAGGAGCGUCCACCGCAUGGUGGGUGGUGGGAAGAUUUAUCGGUUUUGGAUGGACUCGCGGCCUAUCAGCUUGUUGGUGAGGUAAUGGCUCACCAAGGCGACGACGGGUAGCCGGCCUGAGAGGGUGACCGGCCACACUGGGACUGAGACACGGCCCAGACUCCUACGGGAGGCAGCAGUGGGGAAUAUUGCACAAUGGGCGCAAGCCUGAUGCAGCGACGCCGCGUGAGGGAUGACGGCCUUCGGGUUGUAAACCUCUUUCAGUAGGGAAGAAGCGAAAGUGACGGUACCUGCAGAAGAAGCACCGGCUAACUACGUG
rnacentral:rRNA from 1 species